UAGGACCAGACUAGAAGAGGUAAAAGCAUUUUCAAACUUACCCCUGCACAGAAUAGGUAAUUCCAAUGUCUAAUUCCUACUGAUUUUGGCACUAUAUUUUUAUAAGCAAAAAGUUGAAGUAGAAAUGAAAAGAACUCAAUAUAUUUAUCAUGAAAUUCUGCAGUCAAAAGUGACUUUGAUGCUUCUGUUCCUGUUUCAUUAAGCUCCUCAUGGGCAGCAUAAUCCUGAUAAUUUCAAUUCCCUAGAAGAAUAUUCUCUAUUUCAUUUGCUUCUAAAAGACCAAAUUAUUAACCAUGUCAUAUUGUAAAAUUGCCAUCUAAAGACUUCAUGAUGUGCUAAGUAAAAGGAAAUUGCCAGGGGCUGUAAGCUUUGGGUCAAAGGACAGUUGUUUGUAGCUCAUUAGUAUGAUGUGGUGAAAUCUGAAAUUAUAUUAAAUGUUUGUUUAAGAUGUAAUUAGUGAAGAAUUUAUGCAUUUUCAAGUAUUCCAUGCAGAUCUGUAGUCUCAUAUCAACAGUGGCAGAAGUGCUUUCUUGGGUGCAUUAUUUGCCUCAUCCAGAAGGAGAAAACAAUUCAUAAGCCAAAAUAUAUUGCUCAGCAUGCUUGCUUCUUUUUUCCUUUUGCUAUUUCUCUCUUUACUCAGCUGUGCAACCCUGACUGCCAAGAUACGAUUUUACAGGAGAGCUCAGUUCAGUUUGUCCUGUUUCCAUUCUGCCUUUUGAUGCCUGAAGAAAAUUCAAAUACAGCCUGAAUUACCCUCCCAACUUUGGGCCAUGUAGGUCAGGAGCUGGCUUCCAUGCUGCUGUGUCACUGAGCAGCUCAGAGGUUCUUUCUUAGGUGUCCAGGCUAAAGGCUGGAUGAUCUCUUUGCCCAGUCUAGUAAGAAGGAGAAUAAAGUCUCCACACUAGUUUUGAUGUCAGGGAAUGAGGCAUGAAACAGGAGAUUGCACUUUUCCCUUGGGAAGUUGGACUUAACACCCAUCUGUCCCCAAACACACAUCACCUGAGCUGCAAGCUCAAUUUAGUGGUUCACCCACCAGCAGAGCUCUGAGCAACCCCUCCUUCCUCCCUUUAAAGCAAACUCUGGGAGCUCCCCUUCACACCUAACAGCAGAACUCCUCUUUGAUGUGUCAGGUGGAAAGGAUUAAGAUCCAUUUUCCACCAACACACCAAAAGGAAAAAGAGCUUGGCAAAUAGCCUGGUGAAUACGAUCAGUGAGCUCUCCCUAAAGGCAGAAUGGCAAGGGAAGUGUCCCCAGAUGGCCUCUGUGUGAGCAGUGGCAGAAGAAAUCAACCUCUCCAGGCUGUCAGAGCAAUGACCUACAGCUUCCCAUUUAGAGGACUGAGCUGUGUUAGUGGCAGACAACAUAAUCCAGGGGCAAGGAGACAGGUACUCCAGAUGAAAGGUACCACACUUCAUGCCCUGUGAAAAUCCAAAUGGAGUAUUUGAAGUGCAGUGGAAGCACAGCUGAACUGACACAGAAAGAUUAGUAAUGCAGGAAAUC